rnacentral:rRNA from 1 species
AGAACGACGCUGGCGGCAUGCCUAACACAUGCAAGUCGAACGAGACCUUCGGGUCUAGUGGCGCACGGGUGCGUAACGCGUGGGAACCUGCCUUUAGGUUCGGAAUAACUCAGAGAAAUUUGAGCUAAUACCGGAUGAUGUCUUCGGACCAAAGAUUUAUCGCCUUUAGAUGGGCCCGCGUUGGAUUAGCUAGUUGGUGGGGUAAAGGCCUACCAAGGCGACGAUCCAUAGCUGGUCUGAGAGGAUGAUCAGCCACACUGGGACUGAGACACGGCCCAGACUCCUACGGGAGGCAGCAGUGGGGAAUAUUGGACAAUGGGCGAAAGCCUGAUCCAGCAAUGCCGCGUGAGUGAUGAAGGCCUUAGGGUUGUAAAGCUCUUUUACCCGAGAUGAUAAUGACAGUAUCGGGAGAAUAAGCUCCGGCUAACUCCGUG